GAAUCUGAGGGCAAUCUGACUGUGACAUCUGUCACCUCAUUGAUCACCAGGGUUGAUGUGGCCGAUCUGCAGCUAGGCUGGUGUCCCCCUUCCCCCUCACCACUGCACGUACAUCCCUCCUUGAGGUGAACGCUCAGUCGAAGAGGAAAAUCCGCCUGAUACAGGAGGACCACUCUUCAAUCUGAGGUAUGUGAGUAGCAGUACGCUCGUGCUAGAAUCUCUAAACAAGUUCUCAAG
rnacentral:lncRNA from 1 species